AUGUCAAAGCUAGGGCAUUUCCUGAAAUAAUUCUAGAACUUCUUCCAUGCCUCAGGGCAGCUCUCGAAGUCAUUCUGCUUGAAGGUAUGAACUUCAUUCCUGAUUU
rnacentral:snoRNA from 1 species